GACGAACGCUGGCGGCGUGCUUAACACAUGCAAGUCGAACGGAAAGGCCCUGCUUUUGUGGGGUGCUCGAGUGGCGAACGGGUGAGUAACACGUGAGUAACCUGCCAUUGACUUUGGGAUAACUUCAGGAAACUGGGGCUAAUACCGGAUAGGAGCUCCUGCUGCUUGGUGGGGGUUGGAAAGUUUCGGCGGUUGGGGAUGGACUCGCGGCUUAUCAGCUUGUUGGUGGGGUAGUGGCUUACCAAGGCUAUGACGGGUAGCCGGGCUGAUAGGGUGACCGGCCACAUUGGAACUGAGAUGCGGCCCAGACUCCAACGGGAGGCAGCAGUGGGGAAUAUUGCACAAUGGGCGGAAGCCUGAUGCAGCAACGCCACGUGCGGGAUGACGGCCUGCGGGUUGUAAACCGCAUUCGCCUGUGACGAAGCGUGAGUGACGGUAAUGGGUAAAGAAGCACCGGCUAACUACGUG
rnacentral:rRNA from 1 species